ensembl:lncRNA
UGAUUCUGGAUCUGGAGUUUUGUUGACGUUUGGGAGAAUUGUUUCUGCUGUCCAUCGAGAGAGAGAGAGAGACACACGGUUGCAGAAACUGGCGAGCCAUCCCAUUUCAUAGAAUCUGGAAUUUUGUUGACGUUUGGGAGAAUUGUUUCUGCUGUCCAUCGAGAGAGAGAGAGAGACACACGGUUGCAGAAACUGGCGAGCCAUCCCAUUUCAUAGAAUCUGGAAUUUUGUUGACGUUUGGGAGAAUUGUUUCUGCUGUCCAUCGAGAGAGAGAGAGAGACACACGGUUGCAGAAACUGGCGAGCCAUCCCAUUUCAUAGAAUCUGGAAGUUGUUCAUCACACUGGUAGGAAAUAUUGUGUAAACCUGUUUUUUACUUUU